AGCUGUGGAAUUGGUAGACGAUCGGCACAUGUCCUCGGACAUGGCCCGAUAUGAACCUUCCCGUGCUUUUUAGAACAUAGAUGGCACCAGUCAGGUGACUAUCGAAACGUAAUACGCCGCGAUGACUUCGGUCACGACGGUAUGGCGAGCUUUCGCCGUCCACGUUUCUCUUUCUUCAAAAGGAUAUCGAACCAUUGGUUUGCGCUCGCGCGCUGUUCGCACCUUCGGUGCUGCGCUCCGCGGGGGCGCCGGACGACCGGCGACGGCCUCUGGCCUGUAUGGGCGACCCUUUCCGAGGUCUUGCUUGGGAUUGGCGUCGACGCAGAGAGAUGGGCCCGUAGCUCAGUUGGUUAGAGCACACGCUUGAUAAGCGUGGGGUCGGAAGUUCAAGUCUUCCCGGGCCCACCAUUUGCACCGGCAAAUGAGGUUUGCUGUAGCGAAUUGUGGUUUGUUUGGGUUUACCUGAUCCUGGCGGUUUGCUGUCAGGUGUUUGCGAUGGUUGGGGCUGUAGCUCAGCUGGGAGAGCACCUGCUUUGCAAGCAGGGGGUCAGCGGUUCGAUCCCGCUCAGCUCCACCAAUUCGCUUGGUGUCGAGACUGAGAGAUAUCCUUUGAAGAAAUAAAAGUUUUGCAUCGGCUUAUGGCUGGUGCGUGUUCUGCAUACAUUGUGAAGAGAAGAUUGAUCUGGAGGCUUCCAGGUGUUUUGGGUUCUGCCCAAGGCGUCCGAGCCCAGUUCCUGUGAAACCAUGGAUGGCCUAGCCGGCCGGAUGUGGUGGAGGGAUUGGAGGUAGGUAGGAAGCUUGUCGCUCUGGAUCGUCAGCGUAAACCGCAUAGCGGUUUAUCGCGUGUUGUUCGUUGCCUUCGGGCUUCGUCUGACAGACGAUCGGAUUACCGUUGCCUGACCGCGCGGUAUCGGAUCCAAUCUCGAGAAGCUGGUCUUAAGACAGGCUGCAAGCGAGCUGCUCGGCGUAGCUCCAAUAAAGCAGACCUGUCGAACACGUCGAUGGCAUCAUGAAAUGAUCCGGUUGUAAAAGGUAACCGGAUUUUUGGACUGGCCGCACGGCAAUCGCAAGGUUGCCGGAUGGUCUGAAGUCCAAAUAUGGAUGAGCAUUGGCAAUGAGAACGAUUAAGUGUCGUAAGGGCAUUUGGUGGAUGCCUUGGCAUGCACAGGCGAUGAAGGACGUGAUACGCUGCGAAAAGCCGUGGGGAGCUGCGAAUGAGCUU
rnacentral:misc_RNA from 1 species